CACCGACUUUCCCUUUGGUUUCAAACCCUCGGGUGGCGCCAUGCCCGCUUCCAGAGCCCUCCGCCCUCUCCGUCUCCGGUGGUUUCUUCCCUCUUUCCGUCCGGCGAGGGAUCUCGCCGAUCCAACUCCAUCGGGAUUCUUGAUCCCGUCUAUCAGCUAAAAACCGUAUAAAUCGAUGCUCAAAAUCACAUCACACCCCCGCCUAUUGAUCCCUUCUGGGACAUUUUUGCUCCAAGAUCGUUCGGGAAAGAGAGAGAGGCGGCAUCCAGUUUCAUUCAUACUGCUGCUGUUGAUCCCGAUGUUUUUCUUGGGCAGGGUGUUUCCAAUGGUCCUUUUCAUGCAAUGGGAUCUGCCAUGAAGAUUGGUAAUGCUUGCCAAUUGCAGCUGGGGAACCAUAUCCUGGGAAAUACAGAGUUUGGAGAACAUAGAUAGACUCUAGAACCAGUGUUGUGCUCGGUUAGGCUUUAAGUGCAUUCUUUUCUGGGUGGAUGUUUCAAUAUAAGAAAAGGGAACAAGUUUUUUCUACAUAUUGGCAACAACAAUGACGUCAGAUUAUAGCUCCAUUCAUCAAUCUUCUAAAUCAAGCGAACCAACAGAUCUUGAAAACAUACAGAUUGCAGAGCAGAGAUUCAUGGUUUGAAUCUAGAGUGGCUUCAACGCCAUUGAUUUUCAAGCAUGAAGGUUAGAGGCACGAGAAGAGCUUACCAAAAGAUAUUCAUGUCCAGCGAUAUGAAUCCAGGAGGCCUGGAGGACUGACUUGUUGAAGUAGAAAAAAGAAAGAAUUAGAUGAAUUUCCUGCCGUGUCUUCUGUGGUGCAAUCUAUCUGCCAUUCGAGUAAAGUUGCCAUGGAAUAUGCAAGUUCAGAAAUUGGAGUUGUUCUUGAUUUUGUUUCUCCCAUGUCCAUUUUUCUGAAAGUUUCAUAGUAUCGGAUGAAAGACAGCUUCAACUUUAAUAUCUGCUUAUGGUGUACAGUUGAAACACAUAAAAUAUUCAAAUCACGGCAUAAAAAUUUUAGCGUAGUCUUUUGUGUGCAUGCAAUUCUGUCAAUCCUGCAUAUUACAUUGUUUCAAUUCUAAUUCUCGCAACUGUUUCAACAUGUAUUUUCUUGCAUUUCUAGCUGAAUCUUUAGCUUUUGGAUUUUGUUUCCCUAAAUGUCAUAAAAUAAGUUCAUUUUACUUGAUUAUAAGAAGUCAUGAUUAUGAGAUUACAUCAUGUGUGAAGUCAUGAUAAUGUAGUGAAUUAUGGCUGAAUGUAUGUUCUUGUAAUAUUACCAUCAUUCUUUGCCGGUCAUCAUUUCAUUUUCCUCAAGUCAGUGUCCAUCUUUCUGCUUACGUGUCUCUCCUGUGUCCAUACGCGCUACAUGCUUGCUGAGUUCUGUGUCAGAUAACUUGUUUGAAUUGUUAGUGGAUGUUGUAGCUAUCAUGCCCAUCUAGUUUAGUAUCUAUUCCAGUUAUUCUCUUUUUGAGGAUAUCAAUAUUUAU